GGGGGAAAGAUUUAUCGGGGAAGGAUGRGCCCGCGUUGGAUUAGCUAGUUGGUGGGGUAAAGGCCUACCAAGGCGACGAUCCAUAGCUGGUCUGAGAGGAUGAUCAGCCACAUUGGGACUGAGACACGGCCCAAACUCCUACGGGAGGCAGCAGUGGGGAAUAUUGGACAAUGGGCGCAAGCCUGAUCCAGCCAUGCCGCGUGAGUGAUGAAG
rnacentral:rRNA from 1 species